UUUUUCCCUUUCCGCUUUUUCUCUUUCUCGGUGGUCUUUCCUUCCGUGUUUACCCUUUGCAAUCUGCAGCCCCGGAGACCCCCGCCGUACCUCGCGGCGCAGUGUAAAAGCAAUGCAGAGUAUCAUAACACCUCAGUAUAUCUGGAGAAAAGACACAUUAUCUUCUGGGAAUUAUGGUAUCAGAACUGGCACUGUGCUUUGUUUGAAGGACCUAUACCUAAGUGGACCCUACUGACCUGUGAACGACGAGGAAUAACAGUGAAAAGAAGUGUGAGAAGCACACAAAGAAAAAGGAAGUGGAGGCACUUUCAUUGGGACUUCUUUCCUGCCCUUUAUUACUAAUACUGAAUGGAAAAGAGAGAUUUAUGUGCCUUUAUUCCCCCAGCCUCAGGGAUGGGUGUAUUAUAAAUACGGUGUGUGCAGUUGGAAGAAUAGACUGAAUCAUGAAUCUUCAGGCUCAGCAAAAGUCUUCAACCAAAAGGACUGGGAAACGAAUGACUUAUUUUAAUGAGCAAGAUAUAACUGUGUCAUCAAAAGAGCCACAGCAGCAGCUUAAAGAAGGACAGUAUUAUGGUCAUGGAGGGAAUAUUCCAGCCUCCCAGACUAUGGAGAUUCCUCACACAGCAGGAUUAACGAGUGCCCCCAGCAAUGUUGCUUUGAUGAACUCAGUUUACAGUCAAGAUAGGGGAGAAUCAAUGAUGAUGUCCCAGCCAGUAACAGCUGUCAAAUGGCAGAAUUCUUUAAUGGGAAACAGGUUGCCAGAGAGAGGUGAUGCCCACUGGCAAUCUCCAUCUGCAAUGUGGAACCACAGUAUGGUUUUUGGAAGCAAUCCCAAAGGACCCCACACCAAUGCAGGUGCCCCAGGCUUCUAUGGUCACCCAGAAGCCCUUAAAAGAAAUCAAGAGAAAGGUGUAUUUGUGUCUCAGAUGGAUUUGUAUGAAGAUGCAGUUCAACAAAUGAUGUCCCAGAAGGCUCAGCUGGAGCAGCAAGCUCUAGUUAGACAGCAAGCACAAAUGAAUUCCUUUCAUCAGAUGCAGAAACAGCAGCAGCAGAAUCAAAGUCUGCCAUUACAGCCUUUUCAGCUUGCAUUUGGUCACCAAGGCCAGAAGCAAGGACUUCCUGAAUUAUUGCAUGUCUUUCAAGAAGCUCCAGCUUCUUCCACUCCAGCAUUUACUGCUCAACAAAAACAGCAAGCUCUUCCUCAGCUACAACUGUUUGAAAAUUUCUAUCCUCAGCAGCAGCAACAGGCUGCCACACAAGCUUUUGGUCUACAGCAAACUACUUCCAUAGCACAGCCUCAUGUUGCAGCUGCAGCACCUCAGCAUCACAUGAUGGCACACCAGUUUCAGCAAACGGAGAGGAACCAGGAACUAUUCAAGGCUCUAACAGAGCAGAACCAACAGACUGUUCUACCUCAGACCCAGAUUCCUUUUCCAAGAAGAUCACGGAGACUCUCCAAAGAAGGCGUCCUGAUGACAUCUACUGGAGAAGUGUUGGCUUCCAAGCAGGCAGAAGAACAAUCCGGCAAUUUAUUUCUCCAUCACUGGCAAGCACAUCAGCAAGAGGUCCCGGUACAGCAGCCGCUUGAGUCACUGACCCAUACCAAAAGCAGCUAUUCACAUCCCAAGAGAAUGGAUCAGGGGCAGAAGGAUGUCCUGGCCAACAGUGAACCAUGCCAGGUAGAAACAGACGGGCACACCAUCGCUCAGAAUGGCAGAGAUGCAGAGAAACAGACAUUAGCAGCAGAAGGAAACACUUCAAGAACUAAUGACUUUCAGGGUGUUAGAGGUGGUGUAAUACAGAGUACGCGAAGGAGACGGCGUGUUUCUCAAGAAGCCAAUUUGCUAACUUUGGCCCAAAAAGCCGUUGAGCUGGCUUCUCUUCAGAAUGUCAAGGAAUCAGAUACUUCAGAAGAGAAGAAAAGUGUGCUGGUAGCAGCUUCAGGACCUACAGCUGCUAAAAGUGUUGUGGAAUUUGCCAGUUCUUCACCAGCUCCCAAAAAAGCCCGGGAGGAUAGCAGCCUUGUGCCUCUUAUCAUUCCUGUAUCUGUGCCAGUGAGAAAAAUUGACUUGCAAAACCUUGAAAAAGAGAAGUCUGAGGAUGGGAAAUUCCAGAGAGGCCAAACAAACGAUCGAACUCCCUGUGAACGCAAGCCUUCUGUGAUAGUCACUCGGAGGCGAUCUAAUCGUAAUACUAACAUGGAAACCUCAAAUCAGCAUGAACAUGCUGUUCCAAAGGAUGAAGCAGAGGGCUUUGCCCGGAAACCAAAGCAGCGCCCAAGACCUGAGCCACUCUUCAUACCACCAAAAGCUGGCACCUUUAUUGCACCUCCUGUUUAUUCUAAUAUUACACCGUAUCAGAGCCACUUACGGUCACCUGUCCGUCUGGCAGACCAUCCUUCUGAUAGGAACUUUGAACUACCUCCUUACACUCCUCCACCAAUUCUUAGUCCAGUGAGAGAAGGAUCUGGGCUAUAUUUUAAUGCUAUCCUCUCUUCAAGUGGUCAUCCCGUUCCACCUCCAAUGACUCCUAAAAGUGCUCACAGAACUCUGCUUAGAUCAAACAGUUCAGAGGUUACCCCUCCCGUUCUUUCUGUGGUGGGAGAAGCCACCCCGGUCAGCAUUGAACCGCGUAUAAAUGUAGGAACUCGCUUUCAAGCAGAAAUCCCUUCACUCCAAGACAGAUCUCUAGCAGCAGCUGAUGAACAUAAAGCAGAGCUGGUGUGGCAGCCAUGGGACGACCUGGAAACCAACAGAGUCACCCAACAGAAUGUGGAAAGCCUGCUAGCUGCUGCCUGCUCAAGCAUUUUUCCUGGAGGUGGUACCAACCAGGAGCUGGCACUGCAUUUCUUACAUGAAGAAAAGGGAAGCAUUCUGGGAGCUCUGACCAAGCUGCUAUUGAAAGGGCCAGUACGAUCACCUACCCAUCCACUGGCAGAUUAUCACUACACAGGAUCGGACAGUUGGAAAAUUGCUGAAAAGAAGCUUUUCAACAAAGGCAUUGCAAUCUACAAGAAGGAUUUUUUCUUAGUCCAGAAGCUGAUAAAAACCAAGACAGUGGCUCAGUGUGUGGAAUUCUACUACACGUAUAAGAAACAAGUGAAAAUUGGUCGGAAUGGGACCUUAAUUUUUGGGGACAUAGAUGUUGCUCAUGAAAAGUCUGCACGAGAUGAAGCUGAAGUUGACAUCAAGAGCUCCCACAGGUUUGCACGUGUUCUUCCUCUCAGAAGGGACUUUUUCAGUGAAGAACAGGGGCACUUGGAAGAUGAAGAAGAGGAGGAAGAGGAGGCAGAGGAAGGGUUUGAUAACAGAAAGAAGAGCACGCUCCUUCUCAAAGAUGAACAGACACUACAAGAUGAUUUAAUAGCCAAUGAUGCCAAUAUAAGGAGUCGAGAGGCAACUGUUACAGGCAGAAUUGGAAGAAGGCCGAGGGAGACGACCAUGAAGCCUCGAAAGCUUAUUCCUGCUCCUGUGCAGAGAAGGCGGCGAAAACACAAGAUAAAAUCAGAUGUUACCAGUAAAAUCCAGAACACAGAAAACACAUUUCCAUGUAAAAAGUGUGGCAGGGUGUUCUACAAGGUGAAGAGCCGCAGUGCUCACAUGAAGAGCCAUGCAGAGCAGGAGAAGAAGGCAGCUGCACUGAAGCAGCAAGAGAGAGAGGCGGCAGCAGCAGCAGCAGAGGCGGCAGCAGCAGCAGCCCACAGCCAGGCCCAGCAGGAAGAGAGCAGUGAGAGUGGGGAAAGCAGCAGUGGAAGCAGCAGUGGGAGCUCGGAUGAAGAUGGAGAAAUAUAGCAGUGAGCUAGAAAUGGAGAGAGUAGUAAGGCUGGACCUAUCACCCUCUCAGUGGUUUCACGAUUUUUUUGCUUGUGCUUUUCUGACCUGAACCAUCAGGUCUCAGUUUCAGUGCUGCAGCCUCCUUGUGCCACACGUUCCACUUCACCUUGCCAGUACUGACCAAACCAGAGUGGCAGACAAGAAGAUUUUUUUCAGCUUGGAUUUAAAAAAAAAAAAAAUUCUAUUCUAUUUAUAAUCAUAUCUGAGGUACACAAUUAAGCAACGUCACCUGCAGUGGAAAAACACUGGUGGUGUGUCCAACCCAAGCAAGCAGUAAAUGAAGACAGCUGAAUUCUGCUUCUGAUGUUACGUAAACAGCUGCAGAGCUGAGGUGGCAUGAAGUGAGUUGGUGCUUGAAGGGUGUGUAUUACAUCUGAACUUCUGAAUAGUUGUAGGUGGGACAGAGGGCCGUACAUCCAGGCGAAAUACAUCUGGAACUGCUGGGAAAAGAGGUAAUGCUUCUUGCUGUUCAGGAAUUAAAUUGGCUACAUGUAGAAACAACGGUAGGUUGUAACUUAAAACCAGUUGUAAUUCAUAUUUUAUCAUAUUUUUCAUUCUUAAUGUUUAAAUAUACAUGUUAGUGAAUACUCUUUUAAAGGCAUGUGCCUGUUACGUGGAUCUAUAUAUAUAUGUUUUUUUAAUAUAGGUAUGGUAACAUAGCAUUGAUCUAGCUUAUUUCUCUGGUAGUAGCUGGAUUUCUUGCUGUGGGUUUUUAAAUAUCAAUAUCCUUCCCUCCAUCCUUCCCUCCAUCCUCAAAGCAAAGCUUCCUUUGUUUUGGAAGCUGGCUGUUUAUGCUGUUUAUUCACUCCUUCUAACGUGUAGGCAUGAAAGUUUUUAAAAGAUGCUACCUUGCAGUGAUUGUAGCAAUGUGCAUUGAUAGCUCACUGAUCCCCUACAAGCUCUCAGUUAGAAGCUAAGAAGGCAUACUCAGUAAUUUCUCCUUGUUUUUUUAAGCUGACGAACUUGUAUUUCCAGGAUGUUGGCAAGGAUGACAGGAAAAGGAUUUGGUCAAGCAGCAUAAGAGCCCCUGCUUCAGCUGACUCCUGCAGCUAUGGAUGUUGAUCAGCAAUAGCAUGUGAGGAAGUAAGUGGCAGUUAUUCAGAUGGCAAAGAAAAUAACGCACUUGCCUCACUAUCACAGCUUAUGGGCAAAAGUGUUACAGGCUGACUGCACUGCACUAAAACUGGGCAAACGAAAUUUGGAUGAUGGAAAGUUAACAAUGGUAAGUUUAGGGCAGUUUGGUUUUCAUCUUUUUAAAAUGGGUAGAUCCAAGGUUAUUUCAUCUACUGAGAGAACUUUAUAAAGCACUUCAGUGAUUUCUGAGCUCAAAUGCAUUUUGAAGGAGCAACAUUAUGAGGAAUUUUGCAGUAAUUCCCUAGACGUUUGUUUUUUCAGUAGGCCUACAGCUAUCAGUGCAGGAUGAUAUUCUUAUCCCUUUGAGGGUGACUACUGUGGGGUAGAAAGCUUUCUCAUUUACAUCAUUUACAUUUUCAUGAGUUUUUAAACUACAUUUCAGUGGCACUGUUUAUUGAAGGCUGAAGUUCCUAUUACAGAAGUUCAUUAAGCACCAACCUUCUCCUGAGCUGGCUAAAUGGAGUUGAUUGUGUAAUGCUAUUCCCAGAGCUUGAAUUCAAAGCAAACCUGUGAUUUUUGUACUGAAAAAAGACUUACCCUUAUUUAAUGUACUUGCAAUUUUUUUUACCCCAAAUAAAAAUAGCAGACUUUUCUCUUAGGAACUAACAACAAAUCUGACAACCAAUGUCUGUAUUAAAAGACUGAAAAAUAUUUAUGUAUCAGAUGACAACAAUCACAAUUAGAUCAACAUCUGUAAAGCCUAAAUUAUUUCCUAUCCUAAAAUAUAGAGGCAAUAAGAGACAGCAUUUCCAUACUAUAAAUACAUUGCUCCCUGAGCAGCUAGGAAAAGUUAAUGAGAACAAAAAUUAAUUUAUGAAAAUUCACCAGAAGCUGAGCCUAUUCCAUUACACAAUAGCCAAAGACUUUUUUUUAUAAAAUAGCAUUGUUAUUUUUAAACAAGUUUCACAUAAGUUCAUUUAUAAACGUAAGCCUAAAUAAUUUAAACACAGCAACUUUAACAGUUUGGUCAUGCUACAAAAUUACAGUAUACAAAAUGUCAUCAAAAGUAGAUGUUAAAAAGUGCUUUCUUGCUUGAAGAUUUUCCUAGAUGGAUCUACUUCUCUUGUAAUUUGAAUCAGCUGCUGGUUCUUGGGUCUCUUCUCACAUUUUUCCAGCCAUUUGAAAGAUAACCACUGCAAACAUCAUCUCUUUGAAGAGAGGUCUGUGCUAACAAGCAAGUAAAAUACCUAUUUUCUAUCUCUAAUUUAAUUGUAGGAUAUUUCUCUAUAUAAUUAAGUGGAUGCUAAUCCUCCAUAAUUUCUGUGGGAAAAGCAGAAUUCCACAUGGCUUGCAAGUUUUACAUGGGUGCUCUUCUCAUCCAUGAAUAAUAAUGUGCUUAGGACAUCAUUAGAUGUGGUGAGAUGUGGGGGCACAAAGAAUAAUACAGGAAGAAUUCUUUCAGCAUCCAACUGCUGCUCAGCUGCUCCCCUGGGCACACAGUCUCAUCUCUGAUAGUGUAUCUGUGAUGCAGUGCAGCUCCAUCUGCAUUGCAAAUCGGUUGCUUAAAUUCUAUCAUCUGUAUCUUCUACCACAUCCAGUGCAUAAAUUUUAAAGUGCAAAUUUUAGAAAUUGAUUGAAACUUAAUUUAUUUGGGGCUAGUAAAGUCCAUGGGAUUUUGAUUUGUGCUAGGCAGUAACCCACAAUUCAUCACAUAUAACAUUAAGCUAAAACUUAGAAAAGGGUUAACUUACAUGCAAAGGUUCUGCAGUAUGCAGGAGGGUGAAAGGCAAAGGAAAAGCUUCUAAGUUUACCUUGCUGCUGCUACAGUUGUGCUGAGACUGGAUGCCCUGUUCCUUUCAGUAACGAUUGCUUUGAUUUUCAUAUUUUUAACGUAGUUGCAAAAAAAAGAGAACUUGUGCUGUUAAUUUGUGAAAAGAGCUGAUGCCAACAGGCAUAUGCUGUACCCAGCUCUACCAACGAACAACUGCAAUAGUUAUUGCUGGACUGAUUAAUGUUAAUUAAUCCGUGGAGCCUCAACUUGUCAGUUACAAGAGCCAGGAACCUCUUGGAGGUUCCUCAAGCCUUGGCAACGGAACUAUCUCCACCUAGAAAGCUAAAAUUCUAUUCUGCUCUCAGAUUGUCCCACAAUAGUCAGAGUCUUUGCUGUAUCUAACGCUGCCUUUGUAAAUGUACAGAGUUAGACCAUAUUUAGAUAUUACAAAAUUAACCAGUAGGAUUAUGUAGCACUGGACAACAUUCUCAUCUCUGUCCUGUUUCUUCUGAGGAGCUAAUUAAUUUAUUUAAUUAAUUAAAGCGAUACGUACCGUAACUGCACACAUUGGUUUUUGAAGGUGCAGGGAUUUAAAUGCAUUGCCUCUUGGCCAGAAUCCAUGCAUAUAUUCUGCAUAUUCUAUCCUGAAAACAGCUGCACACACAUCUGAAAUUGGCUUCUCUAUUUGUUGCUAACAUUUGAAGUUCUCACUAUAAGCACACUUUAAUCACUUCAUGCAAGGGCCCAAGCCUAUUCCCUGUUGCUCUUCCACAAAAGCUGAGGUCAGUGAAGACCAUGUGUGCCCAUAAGCUAGGUGCUCCUUCAAAUCACAUCCACUUUUCCAAAGCUGAUUGACUGCAAGUGAACUGAGUUGGUUUUAAGAGGCCAACGUGAAAUGGUUGUUUGCUGUAUAAUACUCCCUCCCUGCGUGCUUCUUAAUCAGUGCUGCCUUUCCUAACGAGAAAGCAUAACACUAGAAGGAAUUACAAGAGACUACAAAAUCUGUAAAAUAAAUCCAGCUUCGGCCAUUGUUCUUCUGACCUUAUUUUAAGAAAUGGAUCUAAAUGAAACUCGAGACUUAUUUGCAUCUGCCAGUUUAAGUUGGAAUGCUUAAGCAUUUCUCUAAAAAUCACAGAAUAACAAGAAAGAAUAUAUUGAAACUAGGCUCUGCUUUCCUUGUAAUCUUCACGCCUUUUACUUAUCUAUUGAUGAGCAAUAGAAUUAUCUUCUACUAAAAUUACACCUGGAGCUUGAGAUCAGUAUCACUGUCGCCUGGGUCCCUUCCACCCCUUUAUCCCUGCCCAUGACUUUCCAGGAUAUCAACCCCUGCCACUCUUUCACAAACAAAAGUGGUGUUCUGAAUUUCGUCCCUUACAUGUCUGCUCUAAAACCUGCAAGCACACUUUUCUAGUUUAAACAAAGAUAAUGCACUGAAUUAGAAGAAAAACUUAAUAAAAACAAGCUGCCAAAAAAUCCACUUAGCUGAGUUCAUCUAUUUUCUAAAGGAAGUAAAGAGGAGGGAACAUUUUUUGCAUCCAACAGUGCAAUUAUGUCUGUCUUUAGCAUUACAUAAUGCUUUUCACUAAAAAUAGUUACCUGCCCUAUAAGGAGGUUCACUAAAACGGUUAACGUGCAACAGAGCAUGUUUAGUACAUCUUCAAUACUUAUUUUCCAAUACCCAUUUCCCACCUUGUCUCACCUUCCUCAGUAACCACGUACACAUUUCACUCAUCUGUGCUUUAGAAAAAAAAUUAGUAUCCCAAACCCAACAUUUUACAUCUCAAGCCCAGGUCUCUUGUUCACUGUUUGUUUCUGAGUUUGUUUCUGAGCCCACUUACAGUUACACGAAAAUUCCAGAGCUGAGAAGGAUUACGUCCAUCAAUGAGCCAAAACCAGACUGGGAACAGGAACCAGCUGUAGGCCAAUAGUCUACUUAUUCCAAUCAAAAUAAUUUAUGAAAAAGAGAAAAAAAGAUACUUUAGUCUCACUGAAACCAUGCAAAGAAUUCCCAUUGCCUCUUUAAAAUAAAUAACAUCAUAUAAGUUAUACAUGGCCUUCUAAGCAAUGAAGUUAAGAGUUCCAAUGCAAGAAGCCCAAUUCAAAACUUGCAGUCCAUAACAAGAGAUCAUGUGCCCAUUACCUUUCUUGUGCGUAUGUCCACAACUUCUGGGCCUAUUUGGCAUAAUACUUCAGGGGAUGAAAAGGCAAAUUCACAUACUUAAAAUAUUAAGGGAUUCCCAUAACAGGAUUAAACACAACAAAGUCUAUAACAUAGUUCUAAAAUGUAACAAUGGUGUUUCAACUGAAUGUUGGCGAGCUGCAUCUAACAAGCUAAAAUUGCUCUGUUGUAACACAAGAGCAAACAAUAAGCACCACUAGUCAGGAAUUAGGAAUAGCUAGGUAUUAGCUCAGGUAAAGAUCUCUCACUAACCAAACAAAAGAUGAACUCAACUCCACUGGUCUCUGCAGAAGGUGUCAGAAGCUUGACGAAACUGGUGUGCCUGAAGUUUGGUAAAUAACUCUUUGGGUAAGAGACUGUGGAGAUAAGCUGGUCUUAUAAAACUUGCCCAAAGCUUUUCUUCAAAACAAACAUUUAUACAAAAGUUCUAUGUGCUGAGCAAUCUGGAGAUAUUUAAAUUAUUAAACAACCAACGCAAAAGUCUCAUCAGUUUCCUCCUUCUUCUUCUUCUUCUUGCUUAAUAACAAGGGUACCUACAAGGAAAAAAAAAAGAAAAGAGAAGAUCUACAGCUUUAUGAAGAGAUUAUGCAGAGAAAGGUACAGUUAAUGGUGAUGUGCUUGAAAGCUAAUCUGGACUAUCAAAACUAGGAAAGAGUCAGGCUGUCAGAAAGAGGAAAUAAUUCUAUUUCCUGCUGCCGUCCAACUCCUGGCUCCACACAGGACCACCCUAAAAUCAGAACGUGUCUGAGAGUGUUGAUGCUUUGCAUUUCUUUGAUCUCUGGCAAGCUCAGUGCCAUGGCCACUUCUCUGGGGAAUUUAGUGACGUGCUAAAACUAUUUGGCUGGUUAAUUUCAAGAGUAAAGCCCAGCCUGUGGGCUGCACACCACGUGGACAACUUUUCAGAAGAUCCUGCAGCUGGUGCAGGAUUGCACAGAUGAGGUUUUGAGGUUACAAUUUAUUUCCCUGAUCUUUCUACUACGCUUGUCACUUCUUGUCACUUAGGUCAGUUGCCUCGUGCCCCAAACUUACCAUCCAGCUUUUUCAGCUUGGGCAGCCGUUUGGUUGCUUCUUCAAUCCAGUUGUUCUUCUGAUCAGAGGCGUAUUUCUCUUGCAGUGGAUUGCCUACAAACACCAGAUCCUCUAAUAAUGGCAGCUCUGCCAGUCUCGCAAACUCUGCUGCAACCACAAAUAUGAAAACAGUAACCAGAUUAUGAGCAAGGAAAGGACAUCUGCACCAAACCUUCCUUUCAAACUCCACGCACACAUAAAUAGCUUGGGAUACAAACAGAUAGGGAUCAUUUGGACUUGAACUGGGAACAGGUUAAGGAACAAGUACACAUUUCAAAAGAAGUCCAAGCAAAGCGAUUCAAAGAACAAACUCCAUUGGGCUUAGAGUUUAAAUUCAAUUUCCUAUUUUUAAUUUCUUGCAUGAAUUAUUUAGGGAUUCUGUGUACUUCUGCAGGCUUGUCAGUAAAACUUAAGCCCCAGGACAUGGAGAGCUAUUUUUUAUCUUGCUUAUUCAUGCAUUCACCAUAAUUUGUAGGAAGCUGCACAAUAGACUGGAAUGGCUUACCCCAGUCUUUCACCAAAUUAUUGGACAUGUAAAGAACCUUCAGCUUCUUCAUUACACGGAUACCCCUCAGUUUCUCAAUGAAGUUGUAUGAAAUCCACAGCUCUUCUAGCGUAUCUCCAACUGCUUCCUGGAAAAUGACAGAGCUAAUCAGGUGUCCUCUACUGACAAGAAAUUGAGAAUAACUGGAGGUCUGAAACUCUGAAUCACGGCGAAGACUGACAUGUGGGAGCCAGAAGCUCACGUAGCAGAAACACAUUCUUAAAAUCUCUGACAGAAAUCUCCUUUCCUCUUCGCUCAGAAAACUCAGAACUCACACCCAUCUCGCAGCACAAACUGAGAAGGCAGGGAAGUGCAUUCUGGGCGGAAAUCUCAACAGCACUUUCCUCAGAUCUUCCCUCAGCUUUAACCAUUUUUAUAGCUCCCAUGUAUUCCUCCUCCUGAAAUGGGAGCUGUGACUGCUGCUCCCCUGAGGUGGCGCUAGCGCUCAGCCUCAAGCCCGUAACUCAGCUCUACCUCCUACAGAACACACAUGAAAAGAGAAACUGAUUACACUCUUCCAAAAAAAGGAAGAAAACAAAACAACAACAAACAGUGUAGGACAGAAAGGAGAGAGCUCUGAGUCUGGACUGAUAAUAUUCCACCUUUGAAUCAAAGGCCAAUUAGAAAUAAGAGAAAUUGCAGUGUAAAGUAAUAAAUCCUGAUAGUUCACAGAAUUCUCUAAACAAACAAAAAAAUCCCUUCUAGUUAGUCAUUAGAAAGGAGUGGUAGAUUUCACGCUUCAGAGAGUACAUUAGAAGACAGAUUUUCUAUUUACAACUAAAGUUGGUGACUUUCUUAAAUUAAGAUUAGAUUAAAUACAGAGUUCAGAGAUUUGGAAGAAUUGCCGUAACUGCAGCAUUUGGGUGUGUUUAUUAAAAAAAUACACCCUGUGAAAUCUUUUAAAAUUCCAAAGUGAUGGUAAUUAUCCACUCAAGACUUGGAGCGAGUAUCUUUUCCAGCAGUAACACCAGUUGUGACAGCUGCUUCCCUGACAGCACAAAGGGAACGUUCUGUCGAUUCACUCGGCGCUCAGUGGGAAGACUGGAGCUCUGUUAACAAAGGAGAAAUCUGUUCUGUUUUCAAAACAAGGAGUCUUGUUUUCUCCCCCAUUUUUAUGCAGCUAAUGAAAAGUGAGAGAGCUGAGGUCGGUUUUAUAUCUUUACUUGAGAAGAAAAUGAAUUGCUUCCCAGAAACAUGUAAGAAUAGCACAGCACACAAGAUCAGACAUCAUUUUGUCUUACGUGCCUAAAAUACUUCAGGCAACUUAAUUUAAUAGAGCAUUAUUAUGUUGCCAUGUUUCACUAAAAAUUCCAACCUCUGUCCAAAUUCAGUACGAUAGGAUUUUUAUUCAUAAUUAGCAAUUUAGUAAACAAGUGCGCCACACGCUUUUCUAGAAUAUGGUGAACUGCUCAAACUGAGUCACUACACAAACUUGAAACUUCAAUUUCCUUUGCUAACGACAAGGACAACCGUGUAUCUAUCUGCAUUUAGCCUUGGCUUAUAAUCUUAUAGUCACCUUAAACCAACAGACAAAAUUACAUUAUCUCUUAAAACAGGACAGAGAGGGAGCCCCUAACAUGGCCUGUGGUGGAGAGUGUGCAGCUGAAGAAAGAAGAUUCUUCCAGGCUGCAACCCACCUCUGAAACAAACCUCAGGUGGAAUACCACCAUAAGCACUGAGAAACCACAGGUAGAAGAGCACUUUUUUUAAGCACAGGCUACCUGGUUGCCAACUUGAAGUUGCUUUGAUUUAAUUCAUUUCAUUCUGACUGUAGAACACAGGUAAACCAUUAUGCCAAAGGGAAGAAAUACAUCUGGAAUGCAACACAACAGCAGAUCCAAUGUUAUAAAUCACACGGACACACAUUAGUAGCAGGACGGAAAAUUUUCCUCCUCCAAAACAACAUGAACAGGACAGCACACUCAGCACUUUGUAGUAAACAUAAAUGGAAACUCGCUGACAUGGAUCUACUGCUUCUGAGAGACACAUGACAAAGGAGCAAAUGUGAAAUAAAUCUUUAACAGAAAACAUGAAGUUCAGGUUUUGGAGGGCAGAAAGAGUGAGAAAGGAAAAGGAAAAGCACUUUAAAAAAAACCUCAGCUCAUAUCUCUAGCAAUAGAAACAUCUGUAAGCUGUUGUGUUCUCACCAAGGGAGCAAGAGUGAAGUUUGUGGGUGAAAAUAAAAAUAAAUGUGAAAGACUGAAGGUACUAAA